rnacentral:rRNA from 1 species
UACGGGAGGCAGCAGUGGGGAAUAUUGCACAAUGGGCGCAAGCCUGAUGCAGCCAUGCCGCGUGUAUGAAGAAGGCCUUCGGGUUGUAAAGUACUUUCAGCGGGGAGGAAGGCGAUGCGGUUAAUAACCGCGUCGAUUGACGUUACCCGCAAAAAGAAGCACCGGCUAACUCCGUGCCAGCAGCCGCGGUAAUACGGAGGGUGCAAGCGUUAAUCGGAAUUACUGGGCGUAAAGCGCACGCAGGCGGUCUGUUAAGUCAGAUGUGAAAAUCCCCGGGCUUAACCUGGGAACUGCAUUUUGAAACUGGCAGGCUUGAGUCUUGUAGAGGGGGUAGAAUUCCAGGUGUAGCGGUGAAAUGCGUAGAGAUCUGGAGGAAUACCGGUGGCGAAAGGCGGCCCCUGGGACAAAGACUGACGCUCAGGGUGCGAAAGCGUGGGGAGCAAACAGGGAUUAGAUACC